UGGGGAAUAUUGCGCAAUGGGCGAAAGCCUGACGCAGCGACGCCGCGUGAGGGAUGAAGGCUUCGGGUUGUAAACCUCUUUCAGCUCCGACGAAGCGAAAGUGACGGUAGG
rnacentral:rRNA from 1 species